UUUGGUGGCGAUAGCGAAGAGGUCACACCCGUUCCCAUGCCGAACACGGAAGUUAAGCUCUUCAGCGCCGAUGGUAGUCGGGGGUUUCCCCCUGUGAGUAGGACGCCGCCAAGC
rnacentral:rRNA from 1 species